rnacentral:rRNA from 1 species
GAUGAACGCUGGCGGCGUGCCUAAUACAUGCAAGUCGAGCGAACGGACGAGAAGCUUGCUUCUCUGAUGUUAGCGGCGGACGGGUGAGUAACACGUGGAUAACCUACCUAUAAGACUGGGAUAACUUCGGGAAACCGGAGCUAAUACCGGAUGAUAUUUUGAAACGCAUGGUUCAAAAGUGAAAGACGGUCUUGCUGUCACUUAUAGAUGGAUCCGCGCUGCAUUAGCUAGUUGGUAAGGUAACGGCUUACCAAGGCAACGAUGCAUAGCCGACCUCAGAGGGUGAUCGGCCACACUGGAAGUGAGACAGGUUCCAGACUCCUGCGGGGGGAAGCAGUAGGGAAUCUUCCGGGAUGGGCGAAAGCCGGACGGAGCAACGCCGCGUGAAUGAUGAAGGUCUUCGGAUCGUAGAGCUCUGUAAUUAGGGAAGAACAUAUGUGUAAGUAACUGUGCACAUCUUGACGGUACCUAAUCAGAAAGCCACGGCUAACUACGUG